UUCUAAAUUAAAUAAAUCACUGGCUUUGGUGGGUAUAAUACAAGGCGGGCAAUAAGAGCUAUUUAAAAUCCUAUCGAGAUGUUAAAGUCCUUGUCCUGAAUGCAGGGGGACUUUUGUGCAUUGCCUCCAGCAGCACACCUGGAUAUGGCAGCUGUCUUGCAGACCACCGUACCCUGAUGUGGCCUGUUUCAUGCCUACCUGCACUUGCUAUUCAGACAUCCAGGGCAGAUUGCCAGCUCCCUGCUCAAGGGACAUACUGCGGUGCAGUGGGGUAAAAUUAAAUCUCUGUUCUUACAGUGAGACAAAGCUUAGUGAGGGCAUGACUGCCACAGCUGGACAACAGCUUCAGCUUCCAAGGCCUCCAGAAGGGUUACGAAGUUUGGGUUUUUUGAAGGACUCCCAAAAACUGUUGGGUUCAGCAGGGAAGCUGUGCUGCCUCUGCAAAAGCAAAGGGCUCCUUGUGGAGACAUUUGCUACUGUCUGCUUUAGCAUGCAGCCAGCCUACUUGUCAUAUGGCCUUAGCUGAAAAUGAAAAGGCAUGUUUGAAGUCAGUGGUACUGAAUACUUUAACUUCAUUAUUUGAAGCAUUUGUGAUAGUUGUAUUGUAACCCUAAUUUCUACUGAUGUGAUUUUUGGAAAUGGUUAACAAUUACAGGUCACCUUUGAGAUGUAAGCAUCUUAGCAUUUGUUGUAAAAGCUUGUUAAGAGUAAUCUGUGUCUUAUUUAUCCUGUCACUGUAUCAUUUCAUGUGCUAAUGCACUGGGAAUGUCAAACUGUGCUGACAAUAGCAGAGCUUUCCUUCUACUCAUUUUUAUUCCUGUGCAAAUAUAAUUAAGGCAAGAAGUGUCUUAGGGGUGCCUGAUCACAUGCGUGCAUUAAAUUAGCUACCCUUUUCCUUCCUAAGGCAAGCAGACCCAGCACUGCAAGGUCUCUGGGAAAGACCCAUGUCUUGUGUCUGUUAGGACAGCAUCUUGCAUGCUUAGUCUCUGAGUCCUCACCCAUGCUGGCUGUAUGCAGGCAAUUGUUAAGGGUGAUUAAGUGGGAAAUAGAUACGCGUUUCAUCUUCAGCAUGGGAACAGCCCCAGCAGCUGCCUCUGGAAUUACUGUCAUAUUUCACAUUAGGCUUGUGCUUCCGACUUCUGAAUUUAGGUUUAUAUUGCAGCAAAACUCCAACAAACAUGGAGUCUUUGGAAAACUGGAACUGGGGGCUUUGGGAGUUAUUCUUCCAGAAUUUGGAGGGAAAUGGAAAUCUUUCCACCAGCUGCCAAGACUUUUGUAUUAGACCUCUGAAACGUAGGCCUCCGUAUGGAGCUAUAUCAAGAGGAUGUGUCUGAAUGUCUGUGAAGUGGAGGCAGUGUGACAGCAAAGCUUCCAUGUAGCCCAGGAAGAGUAUACAAGGGGCACACUGAAGACAUCUGGGAUACAGGGGAGGACGAUCUUUGGGCAGAAUUAUAUCUUAAAAACAAUUUUGAAAUUCUGCCGGUCAUUCUUUAAAGGCCACAGGGAACUAGCAGUAUUUGAUGGGGCUCUACCUGGGCAUGAGGCACCCAAAGGAUAACUUCAUCCAUCUGCUGAAGGCUUCAGUGUGGUUAGAGGCCCAGACACUCUGACAAAGGGUGACUUGAUCCCAGACUACCGAACAAGCAAUCAUUUGAGUUACUCUCACCAUACAGAUGGAGUAAUUUAGGCAGUGACCCACGUGUGCCGAUGAUCCCUACAAACCAGACUGCUUUUGAUUCAGUACCCAAGAGUGGUUUCAGAUGCCUGGUAUAAGACCUUUUCAGAUAAGGAGUCUAUGGGAACUUGGCCAAACCACUCCAUCACUACAUCAUAUAAUUUGAUACAUAUAAUUUGAAGCAUAUAAUUUCACACUGUGUAAUCCAUCAGAGUUCAUCUGUCUCAACUGAAAAUGACCUUGUACAUGAAUAGAUGAAAUUCUAAUUCUGUCCCAUUUUCUAGUUCCACUGUUCCCAUAAAUUAAAUGUGGUCAGUAGAAGACUGGGAGAAUAUAUAAAUGAAAUGAAUCAACUCUCUGCCCUUUUAGACUGACAGAAGACUGUAACAGACUGCAACUAAAAAGUGGUCAUAACUUGCAAGUUAUAAAAGAUCCCGUGGUGAACACAAUUAGAAAAAGAUAUUUAACAGUAUAUUGUCUAUGUAUGUUGGAGCUGCAGGCACACACUGAAGCGCCAAUAACUUGAAGCAAGAAUGGCUGCCGUUGUUGCUCUUUUUUGAUUUAUUUCCAGACUACUCCAACUUCUUGUGCAAAAUAGUUUCAACAGCUUCCAGCUUUGAGGAAAUAAGUAGGCAAAAUUUGCCGCUAUAAACACAUUCAAGAGGAGGACAGUGUAAUUCUCUGCACUAAUCACUGACAGCCUACUGUGAAUUGUCAGUAUCACUGAGGGAUGUACAUGGUGUCUGAAAAAACAUCGCGGUUCUGUUCUUUACGUGGCUUUUUUCACACUGGUUUCACAGUUUUAAGCAGAGUAUCAGGUACAGUUGUCUUGCAACAGUUUCAGCAGAGAGAUGGUCUGGAAUAACGAGUCAACAUGACAAUGCUGCACAGGGGUGCAGGGGUGAAGAUAAGAGAAGCCAUAGUAAGAACAGUAGUAUAGCAGCAUCAUUAACCUUCUUUUUUUUUUCCUUUUCUGCACUAAAUUUUCCACAGACAAGAGCGUUGGUAAUUUUAACUUUGAUUGAGAACUGCUAUUAUCCACUCACAGCAUGUGGGAGCAAACAGGCACUUGGAUAAAUCACAAAAAAGAAAACCGCUUAGCAUGCUGCUUUCCUCAAUAACACCUUUUUCUGAAGGUACAGGCUGAGAGCUGUAGGGAGAGCGCUUGUGAAGAGAAAAGCAAGGUUGCAACAGCCCACUGAAGCGUGCUCAAGGUCAGCCCCUCUCAUAGAAGACCAAGAAGUCACGUUUGACUUAGAAGGAAUCAUGAAGAUCAGUUUCCUCAGUGACAUAGCGGGAGCCGUUAGCAAGCUCAUCCAAGAGUAAUCACCCAUCAAAGGCACUCAGCCCAGGGCUGUGUUUGCUACCUCUCAGCGGUGGAUGAAGUGGGCUGACUCCACCAGCGUGAGUAUGCAGGAGGUCAUCUUCUCCACAGCCAGCGCUGCUUCAGGUGAGAGGAAACUCAAACUGAUGUGAAACAUGGAGUACUUCUCACAUGCUCAUUGAGAAGAAGACUUGCUGGACAGCCUCCAUGAAAUCAACACUGUUUUGGAUUGGAAUUUCAUACUGAGCAUGCCAGCAGUGCUACCAUGGCAAAAGACAAGCAAGAGUAAGGGCUACAGCUGCUCCUCUGACAUUGCUGGUACAGUUUCUAGAAUAAAUUUCCAGCUCCUACUAACUCCUGCUUGUACACCAAGGAAAGGACCUGAACUGGAGGAGGUUUGGCACUUCGUCUGUGAUGUGCAGAAUCCAGCAAUAAAUUAUUCCACUAUGAAGGUCUAAUACAGUUAAUAGAGCAUAUAAA